UGAUUAUACCACGUGAUCAUCCUCGCGGACAGCGCGGCUGUGCGGGCGGAGAGCUGUCGCACAACCAGAGCUGGACAGAGUAUUCCAGAAGAGGCCUCCCCAACGACCUGUAUAUCCUCAACAUAACGUCCCAACUCCUGUACUCCAAGGUCUGAACAAUAAAGAUCCCAGUGAUUAAUGCCAAAGCCCUGUUGCCUGGGGAGAGGGUGAUGUUUGACUUUCUUGUACA